rnacentral:rRNA from 1 species
GGGAUUGCCUUAGUAACGGCGAGUGAAGCGGCAAAAGCUCAAAUUUGAAAUCUGGUACCUUCGGUGCCCGAGUUGUAAUUUGGAGAGGGCAACUUUGGGGCCGUUCCUUGUCUAUGUUCCUUGGAACAGGACGUCAUAGAGGGUGAGAAUCCCGUGUGGCGAGGAGUGCGGUUCUUUGUAAAGUGCCUUCGAAGAGUCGAGUUGUUUGGGAAUGCAGCUCUAAGUGGGUGGUAAAUUCCAUCUAAAGCUAAAUAUUGGCGAGAGACCGAUAGCGAACAAGUACAGUGAUGGAAAGAUGAAAAGAACUUUGAAAAGAGAGUGAAAAAGUACGUGAAAUUGUUGAAAGGGAAGGGCAUUUGAUCAGACAUGGUGUUUUGUGCCCUCUGCUCCUUGUGGGUAGGGGAAUCUCGCAUUUCACUGGGCCAGCAUCAGUUUUGGUGGCAGGAUAAAUCCAUAGGAAUGUAGCUUGCCUCGGUAAGUAUUAUAGCCUGUGGGAAUACUGCCAGCUGGGACUGAGGACUGCGACGUAAGUCAAGGAUGCUGGCAUAAUGGUUAUAUGCCGCCCGUCUUGAAACACGGACCUCCUGUGUGAAGUGAUC